ACCCCUGGUGAAAGAAAGCCAGGCAUCGCUUCAAGUUGGUUUAAGGGAUAGGAGACACGGAUGAGCAGGCGACAGAAACAGCACAUCGCAGAUGAAUAGGAAGAUAGCCGAGAAAGGCAUUGUGCCAGCUGCCCUGUGAUGCCAACAUCAUGGCCUUAUGCUUGCGUCCAUCAACCAGCAAAAUUGCUAAUAGCAGCUCGUUGCGCGCGAUCAAGAUCUAAAUGCCAGUAAAGUAAUCAGCAAGCAUAAACAAUGUCGACACACGCAGGAUCCGACGACGGUCUGAAUGAAGACUUGGAUCCAUGGACUGAAAGUCCAAGUCUCACGUGCUCAAAUUCUAGCGGGGCUCAGCACUCCAGAGAAGAAGAAGAAGCCCAAACGCUCCUUCAACAGCGCCCAUUCCUCACGCCAUUCAACCAAACUCAGCCAGCGGGAGAAAACAAAAAGAAACACUGUUUUGUUGCAACUUCGAUGAAUAGCCCAAACGAUUCGACGGUUGCGUAUGCGCAGGCGUAGCACCCCUCUCACAAUCCCAGCCGUUAUCUGCAAAUCCGUCAUCCGCCAUCCAUGACAUACAAAACCAUGUCCUUCACCCAACCCGUCCCCGCCGAAUACCAGACCCCCCCUUUCCCUUCCCUCUACGUAUCCUCAGGCUUCUACCGCGAUGGAUACCAAUACCUCUAUUACACGAAGGACAUAUGGCGCUUCACGCUCUUCUGGACGCUGCUCUUCUAUAUGGGUGCGCAUCUCUCCGCCGCCCUGUUUGCCGUCGUGAUGCAAUGGCGUAACUGGAAGCUCGUCUGGGCGGUGGUCUUAGUAUACGGACUCAUUGCUGGUUUGGAAGGGUUGCUGGCGGGUAGUGUCACGGGCCUUAUUCUCGGAGCUGUCUAUGAAGCCGGCAACUAUAAAAUGUCCACUUGGAUUCCUUUUUCGUGGGCAGCGCUUAAUACAUUGGUCUUGAUUCUCUCGAGCUUUUCGAUCCAGGGAGGGCUAUAGGCAACUCGCGGCGCGUCGUUGACAAGCAUUCUUGUUCACUUUAUCGACGACAUACAGCUGAAAACGGGAGGGAAACAACCAACUCGACAUCCAUAAAAGUUUCGAGAGAAAGGGCUGGGUGAUAUCACUACCGUAGCUACAGUAUCAGCGGUAGUUCAGCCUAGAAAUAAUACCCAUAAUCGGAUCCAACGCUAUACGCAUUCUUCUCUACAGUAUACUGGAUAUCUACCGCAAACCGAUGUCAUGGGAUAAAAAAUAAAACAGAUAUUUCACCUAAGUCAAACUUUCCCUCUCAUUCCCCCUUAUACCCUUCCCCUUUUUCCAAAAAAAGAGAUAAAACAAUCAAAUCGCAACCCCGUUCUAUAUUACAGGCCUGUUUGACAUAUAUGGUAAAACGAUAUUCUUGUUUUCCCUUUAUCUAAUAUUUCGCCAGUUUCCCCGUCGUUGUUCUUCCAUCAAGCUAUCUUGCUGGCUUGGCAAAGGCCCGCGUUUCCUUAUUCCAUUCGUGAAAUCCUCAUUUGGGUCACCAGUUGGGGCUUGGCCCUGAAGACCGGGGAUUCCUGAAGACGUGAAGCCUCCGCCACCCUGCGUAGGAAAGUUUUGGUUUUGCUGGAACGUGUAGGAUUGCUGCUGAUGCUGUUGGUGUUGUGGAGAAAAGAACUGGUUUUGUAAGGAUGAUAGAUCCAUAUGUGGGGCGAGACCACCUCCCUGCAUACCAGGCAUGGGAUAUGUCGGCGGACGUAAGUUUGGUGGUAAGGAUUCGAGUUGUGGCGGAGGAAACGAGCCGGAAGAUAUCAUCGCCGCCAAACGGCUCGAUUCGACUUGCGACAUGGAUGAAACCGUACCUGAAGGGGGUGGCGGGGGUGGCUGAACUGCCCCAAUUCCUGGUAUCAGCCCUGGAAGCCCGACAUUCUCCCCACCCCCGGGAGCACCCUGGAUUCCGAGAAGAACUGAAGCAUCGCGCUUCUUCUGGUCAACAAGUCCCUCCGCCUCAUCUUGAAGUUCCUGCUCCUCUUCUUCCUUCAUCUGUCGACGGCCAAAGCCACGGCUCCAAGUUCCCUGGGCUUCUGCGGCUUCUUCGCCAAUGUGGAAUCUAUCCUUCAGAUAACUUGUUUCGCCGGGUCGGGCGCGGGACCAAAAUCGGGUAAAAUUAUCCUUGGAGCCGGACGCCAGAAUGUGGCCGAGGGGAUGCCAGUCGAGGGUCCAUAUAGUAGACGAAUGGGCAUAGGGAAUACGAUGAGCGGGGAAUAUAACUUGGGCGGGGGUGUUAGCAGGAUCAGCGCUGUCGUAUGGCGCGACAGUGGGGACCUGCCCAGCUGGUAGAUUCUGCUCAUCCAAUAAAUAAUGAUGAAUUGAACCAUCUUCACUUCCCGUAGAAAUAAGAGAACUAUGAAUCGGGUGCCACGUCAUGGAAGAUAUCGGCUUCUCAUGUCCUCGUAAAAUGCAUAUGUCUCGCAUCAUCCGUAGAUCGAAGACGCGGGCGCUUUGGUCCCGCGAUGAUGUCGCCAGUAGGUUGCUGUUCACACGCGAGAAUCUAGUGCAAGUGACCGUAUUCUUAUGGCUGUGGAGGGUAGUCAGACACCGGCCGGUGCGGGGGUCCCAAAACUUGACCUGGUGGUCCUUGGAUCCGGAGACCAGGAGGCCC
rnacentral:sRNA from 1 species